rnacentral:rRNA from 1 species
GACGAACGCUGGCGGCGUGCUUAACACAUGCAAGUCGAACGGAAAGGCCCUGCUGUUGUGGGGUGCUCGAGUGGCGAACGGGUGAGUAACACGUGAGUAACCUGCCCUUGACUUUGGGAUAACUUCAGGCAACUGGGGCUAAUACCGGAUCGGAGCUCCUGCUGCAUGGUGGGGGUUGGAAAGAUUCGGCGGUUGGGGACGGACUCGCGGCUUAUCAGCAUGUUGGUGGGGUAGUGGCUUACCAAGGCUUUGACGGGUAGCCGGCCUGAGAGGGUGACCGGCCACAUUGGGACUGAGAUCCGGCCCAUACCCCUACGGGAGGCAGCAGUUGGGAAUAUUGCACAAUGGGCGGAAGCCUGAUGCAGCAACGCCGCGUGCGGGAUGACAGCCUUCGGGUUGUAAACCGCUUUCGCCUGUGACGAAGCGUGAGUGACGGUAAUGGGUAAAGAAGCACCGGCUAACUACGUG